GUUUGAUCAUGGCUCAGGAUGAACGCUGGCGGCGUGCCUAAUACAUGCAAGUCGAACGAAGAACUCUUGGUACUUGUAUCAGGAGUUUCUUAGUGGCGAACGGGUGAGUAACGCGUUGGUGACCUGCCCCGAAGCGGGGAAUAACAGAUCGAAAGAUCUGCUGAUACCCCAUGUCGUCAUCGAGUUUAGAAAUCGAUGAUCAAAGGGGUAAUCCGCUUUGGGAGGGGCCUGCGUCCCAUCAGCUAGUUGGUAGGGUAAUGGCCUACCAAGGCUUCGACGGGUAAGGGGCCUGAGAGGGUGGCCCCUCACAAUGGAACUGAAACACGGUCCAUACACCUACGGGUGGCAGCAGUAGGGAAUAUUGCACAAUGGGCGAAAGCCUGAUGCAGCAACGCCGCGUGUACGAUGAAGGUCUUCGGAUCGUAAAGUACUUUUCAGGGAGAUGAGAAAGGACAGUAUCCCUGGAAUAAGUCUCGGCUAACUACGUGCCAGCAGCCGCGGUAAAACGUAGGAGGCGAGCGUUAUCCGGAUUUACUGGGUGUAAAGCGCGUGCAGGCGGUUCGGUAAGUUGGAUGUGAAAGCUCCUGGCUCAACUGGGAGAGGUCGUUCAAUACUAUCGGACUAGAGAGUGGUAGAGGAAGGUGGAAUUCCCGGUGUAGUGGUGAAAUGCGUAGAUAUCGGGAGGAACACCAGUGGCGAAAGCGGCCUUCUGGACCAUUUCUGACGCUCAGACGCGAAAGCUAGGGUAGCAAACGGGAUUAGAGACCCCGGUAGUCCUAGCUGUAAACGAUGUGAACUUGGCGUCGGCGGUGUAAAAACUGUCGGUGCCGAAGCUUAC
rnacentral:rRNA from 1 species